rnacentral:rRNA from 1 species
UACGUAGGGCGCAAGCGUUAUCCGGAAUUAUUGGGCGUAAAGAGCUCGUAGGCGGUUUGUCGCGUCUGCCGUGAAAGUCCGGGGCUCAACUCCGGAUCUGCGGUGGGUACGGGCAGACUAGAGUGAUGUAGGGGAGACUGGAAUUCCCGGUGUAGCGGUGAAAUGCGCAGAUAUCAGGAGGAACACCGAUGGCGAAGGCAGGUCUCUGGGCAUUAACUGACGCUGAGGAGCGAAAGCAUGAGGAGCGAACAGG